CCGGGGGCUCCACCUCUUCCCAUUCCGAACAGAGAAGUUAAACCCCGGCGCGCCGAUGAUACUGCGGAAGCGGGAAAGCAGGUCGCCGCCACCU
rnacentral:rRNA from 1 species